rnacentral:rRNA from 1 species
AUUGAACGCUGGCGGCAUGCUUUACACAUGCAAGUCGAACGGUAACAGGCCUUCUGGUGCUGACGAGUGGCGCACGGGUGAGUAAUGCAUCGGAACGUACCCAGAGGUGGGGGAUAACGCAGCUAAAGCUGUGCUAAUACCGCAUGUGAUCUGAGGAUGAAAGCGGGGGACCGAGCAGCAAUGUUUGGCCUCGCGCCUUUGGAGCGGCCGAUGUCGGAUUAGCUAGUUGGUGGGGUAAAGGCCUACCAAGGCGACGAUCCGUAGCUGGUCUGAGAGGACGACCAGCCACACUGGGACUGAGACACGGCCCAGACUCCUACGGGAGGCAGCAGUGGGGAAUUGUGGACAAUGGGCGCAAGCCUGAUCCAGCAAUGCCGCGUGCGGGAAGAAGGCCUUCGGGUUGUAAACCGCUUUUGGCAGGAACGAAACGGUGUCCGCUAAUACCGGGCGCUAAUGACGGUACCUGCAGAAUAAGCACCGGCUAACUACGUG